AAGAUUCCUUUGUUUUGGGUGUUGAUGUUGCCCGAGUAUCAUUCGAAUUUCAGGUGGCACUGUAUUCCUUGCAGUCAUGUGUAUGAUUUCUUAAAAGUGGGAGGACUCGUUGCCUGGAUGAUUUACAUAUGAGGAAUGCAUUUUUUAUUAUGCUAGUCCAUCGCCCUUAUAUGGAGCAUUUAUCAUCUUGAUUAUCAUAAGGAAUAACUAUAUAGUUCCCCUAAGAU
rnacentral:misc_RNA from 1 species